UACGAGAGGCGCAAACGUUAUUCGGAAUUACUGGGCUUAAAGAGUUCGUAGGCGGCGCAGAAAGUAGGGUGUGAAAGCCCUCGGCUUAACCGAGGAAUUGCGCUCUAAACUACUGUGCUUGAGGAACCUAGAGGUGAGCAGAACUGAUGGUGGAGCGGUGAAAUGCGUUGAUAUCAUGAGGAAUACCGGAGGCGAAGGCGGCUCACUGGGGGUUUUCUGACGCUGAGGAGCGAAAGCCAGGGGAGCGAACAGG
rnacentral:rRNA from 1 species